ACUGAGUUGCAAAACUCCCACAACCAUUGUGAACCGUACACACAUAUCGUUGCUUCGGCGGCGGCCGCUCCAGCGGCCUCCCCACCCCCUCGGGGGAGGCAGCCCGCCGGAGGGCCGUAUCCAAACUAUAUCUAUAACAGUUGCCUCUCUGAGUACUUAUACUAAUAAGUCA
rnacentral:misc_RNA from 1 species